AUGAUCUGGCAUGUACAGAAUGAAAACUUCAUUCUCGAUUCUACGAGAAUUUUUAUGAAAGCGUUUCAUUUGCUUCUCUUCAAUGGAAGUUUCAUUUUUCCAGAAUGUAUCCUAAUUUUUGGCCUAAUUCUUCUGAUGAUGAUCGAUUCAACCUCUGAUCAAAAAGAUAGACCUUGGUUCUAUUUCAUCUCUUCAACAAGUUUAGUAAUUAGCAUUGGUGUUGUCCUAUGGUGUCUUUCAUGCCGCGCACACAUGAAGGGUUCCCGCUGUAGGGUGUUGCAAUACGUUCUUGAUUCGCUUAUAGUGGGUUGCUAG
rnacentral:rRNA from 1 species